rnacentral:rRNA from 1 species
GACGAACGCUGGCGGCGCGCUUAACACAUGCAAGUCGAGCGAGAACCAGUCCUUCGGGGCUGGGGACAGCGGCGAACGGGUGAGUAACACGUGGGUAAUCUGCCCUCGGCACCGGAAUAGCCCGGGGAAACCCGGAUUAAUGCCGGAUGGCCUCUCUGCCCCUCGGGGCGGCGAGAAAAGGUGGCUUCGGCCUCCGGCCGAGGAUGAGCCCGCGGCCGAUUAGCUUGUUGGUGAGGUAACGGCUCACCAAGGCGACGAUCGGUAGCUGGUCUGAGAGGACGAUCAGCCACACUGGGACUGAGACACGGCACAGACUCCUACGGGAGGCAGCAGUGGGGAAUCUUGCGCAAUGGGCGAAAGCCUGACGCAGCGACGCCGCGUGGGUGAUGAAGGCCUUCGGGUCGUAAAGCCCUGUCGGGUGGAACGAAUCAUCCGGCGGCAAAUAACCGCCGGGUUUGACGGUACCACCGAAGGAAGCCCCGGCUAACUACGUGCCAGCCGCCGCGGUAAAAC